CAACCGGCAAAUGCAUUUAAAAAGGUAGCUAACUGUAUGAACUAGAGAGUAAAGCUAAAACAAAGCAAUUUUGAGAGGGACGCCAAAAAUAUUUUCGGUUUUGAACACUUUUCAGUUUUCAUCGCAAAUACACGGCAUAGAGAAGACUCUUAAUGCUUAAUUAACACAACCAAUGCAUGAUUUCAAUGGUCCAUUGGUUGAACCAGACAGUGGUGGCUUUAUAGGGCGGUGGUGGACAUGGUUGUGCACCCCUGUUGGCAUUGGUCAACAGGGGUGCAAAAAAUAAAAUCUAUCUUUCAAGUGUUUGAAGUAUUCAAAUUUUGUUAUCAGUCUUAGACCAACUUAAGUUUUGGAAUUCAAGGCAGCACCACAACACCAGUUCAAAAUACCCAAUAUUAAUAAUUAAUUUAGUUUUUGAUGUAAUGUUGACUGUUGAGGUCUCGAGGAUUUAAAUUUUAUAUAAUCAUUAAAUUAUAUAUUUAACAUAUCUGUAAAUUGUAUCCAAGAAACGACUAGGUGCGCUUUCAUGACAGUGUGGGCUGCUGGUCAGUGGUGGGUUUGGUGUACUUGGCUGCUUGCCCAACACCCCCCCCCCCAAAAAAAAAAAAACCUUGCCGGGUCCACCACUGGAACCAGACUUUAUUUUGAACGGGCAUAUCGUUGGUGCUGGAAGACCAAUUUUUGCCUUCACUUUUUGGAAGCGAGUUGCCGCUCAAGAUAUCUAUGGAGAUCAGUGUAAAUUCCAUGUAUUUCUUUCUUUUCCAGGUCCGCAACAAGACGCCCAAGCCGCAAGGGAAUUCAUUCUAAGGAUGUUCGUAGAUUUGAACCCAGAUACAGACAAAAUUAUUUACUCUCAUUUCACUUGUGCCACGGACACCGAGAACAUUCGCUUCGUCUUCGCCGCUGUCAAGGACACCAUUUUACAGUUAAACUUGAAAGAAUACAAUUUGGUUUGAAAAGUUAGCACGGUCUGUGAACUACCACAGUCAUAUUUCUCUCAGUUGGUUCGUUGAAGCUAGCUUUCCUGCUGUAAGAAAUUCCAUAAAACUUGAAAUCUACACUGACAUUGUAAACCGCGCAGAACACUACUCCUAUAAAAGAUUAAAUAAAGCCCGGAUGACUGACUGCAAAGGAACUUGAACCCCAUCGGGGAUUUUAUUUCCGGGAGAUUUUAUCCCUUACCCGUGGCUUUGUCCUCGGAUAUCUUGCCCAUGCAGAGUUAGGCUAUAGAGAUCAUAAAUGACUUAAGGUGGCAUGAUGAGAUUUUGUACUCGUUUGAAGACGCGAUUGUAGCAAGUUUAGUCACUUUUACGUGGGUGUUUAGACAGUGCAAGAAUGACACCACAUAUUUGUAUCAAUUUGUGCAGGGAUUUAUACGAUCUCUUUUUUUCAUCAAUGUGAAUGCAUAGGCAUAUAGCUAUUACAAAAUCGUCAUUCAGAAAACAAGCACGAAAUCUUCGUAGUUUCACAUUGUCAUCAUUGGAAUAUGCGUUCAUUGAAAUAUUUUCCAGACACCAAAAACGACAUGUGGAGACCAGGGCUACCAAUGCAACGAAUACCAUCGUUUAGUAAUAGAGUAGUUAAGUUCUUUUUAAGGGUUUUUAGACGUCGUGCAAGCUGUGUUGACAGCGUAAAAACUGUCUAUCAUAUCAAACCUUGACAAGUAGAUUCCCAAACUACAAAUUUAUCAACAGAAAUUUGAAUUAUUCGACUUUGCAAUAAAAGCAUACAAUUCGUAUAGAAUUUGUGAAAUUUCGAUUGUUUACAAAAUAGAUAGUUCCCUCGUAAUUAACGAAACCAUUUUGCUCCGGUUAAAUAUAAUUUUCACGAGGAAAACGUAUAUAAUAGUGAAAGUAUAAUGAGAGUCGCAGAUUACGUUUAGUUUAUUUUGAAUUUAUAGAGAAAUUAUAAAACCUGAUUCCAUUUGGUCGUACAACUCUGGCGACCAAGUCGACGAUGUGAAAUAGUCCGCAUCUGUCUCGUCUUAGAACUCUAUUACGUCCGUCAACUUGAUAGGCUCACGAGAGUUCUAAAUUGAAACCGAGUAGUAUAGAAUACUUCUUAGUCCAAGUAAAGUCGAAUCACUUGCUAAAAAAUUAUUUUCUCGAUCAAAUCUAUGUUCACAGGCAUAAUUUUCGACAAGUGACGUGACUUCAUUUGGGCACCGCAAAGUUACAAAGAGCGUCAUAAAAAUGACACGCGAACAUGUUACUUUUUGGUCAAAAUGAAUGCCUUCGAUUUAAAACCAUUAGUUCUUAGACUUGUUACUCUGGUUUACAUAUAUGAUCACAAUACGCCUUAGUAGUUUAAUUUAUGAUCUCUAUGGUUCAAAGUCUGUAUUAAAAUGUUAGGGAUAUUAUAUCGAGGUCGUUUUAGAGCCCUCUGUGGACUGGGCCCAACUCACCGACGCUCGUCGGUGAUUGGUCGAACCAUUGUAUCUAUAGCAACAACGCGAUCUGUGGUUUAUGCUAAAUAAUAUCUUAACUUAUAUAAGUGUAAUAGUGUAUAAUAAUAAUAAUUGUCAUUCUAGAUCUGUAGAAGUCGGCUUAUAGUUUGUUUCUUGAUUGCGCGAAAAAGUGCACGCGAUAUAUAAAUAUAUAUAAAUAUUGACUCUUGUAGAUGUAGCUAGGUAGGUUUUAAAACUACUCCAAGCCGCCUUAAUAUGACAAUGUCAAGAUUGUGAGUGGAAGAAUAAAUAUACAAAGAGACUAAAGUUGGAAGAGGUUUGAAGACUGGCGCUGGACUAUUUGGGGAACACGUGAAAAUUCCCAUGUUUCAUCAAAUGUUCCCCAGUUUGCCCAUGGAGGGAAAAAACUAAUUUCUUUCUGUGACCACUGUGACAGAACAAAAACAAUUCUGCCAAUAUUCCCACAUUCCCAACUAUAAGUACAUCCUGGGCGCUGGACGAGCUGGAACACCGUUGCUAUAGCGUGGAAAAACCCCUUGCACCCUCGUUGAUGCAAUAUCGAUUCAGUGCAAAUGAGCAGAAAAUUGAGAUGGAUAGGAAUUUCAACUAUCUGACCUGGCGUUUUCGGUACUACCUACACUGGCACAGACUGGUUCGAGUUUAUAUCUGUGUAAAUGACC
rnacentral:lncRNA from 1 species